rnacentral:misc_RNA from 1 species
CUUGAUUGUUGAUGAUUUAAUUGAAAUUGAUUUAGGGUUUGUACAUUUUCUACUUUCAAUUAAUUAUUAUUAGGAUUUGUGCAAUUUCAGCGGUAAAGGAAUUUUAAUUUAUGGUUUAUACAAUUUCUGCUUGCAAUUCAGUUUUCAUUUGCUGCAAUACACUGAGCUAUAGGCUAAUUAUUAUUGAGUAUUUUCAUUUGUAGCAAUUUGU